rnacentral:rRNA from 1 species
UACAGAGGGUGCGAGCGUUAAUCGGAAUUACUGGGCGUAAAGAGCACGUAGGUGGUUAUAUAAGUCACUUGUGAAAUGCCUGAGCUUAACUUGGGCCUGUCGAGUGAAACUGUAUAGCUUGAGUUCUGUAGAGGGUAGUGGAAUUUCUGGUGUAGCGGUGAAAUGCGUAGAUAUCAGAAGGAACACCCGUGGCGAAGGCGGCUACCUGGACAGAAACUGACACUGAGGUGCGAAAGCGUGGGUAGCGAACAGG